CUUCUCUCAGCCCACAGGCUUUACUGGUUCUUCUCCCCGUCCCACCUGGGGGUAGAGGUGAGCAAGUGGCUACAUGGUGUUUAGUUGCUGGCUGGGGUUAAACCGCAACACCACCCUGCAGCACCAAGUCCUACAUGGUUUUGCUGAGAGAAGCUUUCUUGCAUCACACUACUACAGAACAAAGAACCAUGCUGGCAAAAGCUGUCAUAAUAUAAAUACUUCAAGAACAAAGAUUUCUCUCCCUACACAGAAAAGGAGGAAGGAAUAAAAGGGAAGAAGAGUACAUGUCCAUAAAACUGAGCCACGAGCAGCCCCUUAGCCAACCCCACCACUUGGGAUGAUCUGAGAACCCAAGGCACUCAGAGAGAGCUGAAACUGUAAUGCUGUGAAUCUCCUUUCAGGAAACAGAAAAUAGAGAAUGGGAGCAAGAGAAUAUUUAUCGCACCUUCCUCCUCCUUUUUUGUCUGGAUUCGUGCCAAGCACAUCUGGCCAAAGAGAGGGGAAAUGUGGUUUCCACAAGAUGAAACUUUGAAUGGCUACAAGCAGUUUCUAAGGAGACCUGCUCUAUAAUUGUAGAGGAAAUUACAAGUUGAAUCAUCCGUGGUUUGGGGAGAGAAAUCAAUGAUAUUUUGUAAGUUGAACCCAACUGUGCUGACUCUUACCAAGAAGGAAACUGGAGAGAAAUCAAUUCCAAGAACUUUGAACAAAAAUCCAUCUUAAUUCAGGUCUGACAGAACUGUUUUGUUCUCCUUCUUUAAAGCAACGUGAUGCAUCAACCUGAAAUCCCUAUUACUAUUGCAGAGACAGGCCUUCUCCACCAAAGACAGACUAAUAAACUGCACUCCAGGUCUGCCAAAUCACUUGCUGCCGAGUCUCGGGAAUGCGCAAAGGCCCUUACACCUUUCAGGGCUCGCCUGCCGAACCUGCUGGUGUCUCUCCAGAAGGCAGAUCCAAAGCAGAAUCUGCAGACUGCGAUGCAUUGCACCACACAUUGAAAUGGAUUGCUGAAGCACAGCUGCACCCACUGGACCCUGUAAUGACAGUAGCAAACUAAUUCUGCUUAUAAUCUAAAUGACAUCUGACUCCUAAAUUAGUGUUCUGCAUAUGCUGAUGCUUUACACAUUUUAACUUUUUGUUUGUCUUUUUGUUUUUCAGAAGACAGGGGGAAAAAAGCAAGACCCUGAAUAUCUAUGAGCACUUACUUACCCUUCAUUUUGUAAUUUUACUUUGCUGAAUGUUCUUGUGAAAUGCUGAAUUCAGUUUAGUUAAAUCAGAAGGCUUCAAGACAUAGGCGAAAGAGCUUCCCUACCAAAUGUAAAGUCAAACUUUUAAGGAAUCUGUUUGGAGAGACUGAAGAGUGGAGAACUGUCCCUGUCUAUUCCAUACCCAAACUAUUUGAGAGCAGGACGCUACCUAACUAGAAUUGCCGGUACAGAUCAUAGAAUCAGAGAAUCAUAAAAUGGUUAGUAUUGGAAAGGAUCUGAGGCUGAAUUCCUUUGUAAACUUGCUCAGGGACAGAAGAAAACCCAGCUCUGCAUGGAGGAAACUUACCUAAAGGCAAGUGUUCUUUGACUGGAAAUGAAAACAAACAUCAACUAAAAGAACUUUAAGUCUCAACUGGUUAAAAACUGUACUAUAAAAAUGCUUUUGUUUUCAAGUGAAUAGUUUCCCUUUGUAGUCAUGGAAAUUCUUUUCAGUCUCAGCAAAACUAAGGCAUUUCAGUGGUUUUGUGGGGUGGGAAUGGGGGAAGAUGGAAGUUUUAGAGAAAUAAAGCUAAAGUGAUAAACUCUGACCAAUAUCGUAUUCCAUUUAUAUAAUCUAAAGAAAGAAAGUCAAAGUACAAAUUUCAAAGGAGAAGCUGGAUGGUGGAUAAUAAGUUCUCUAUUUAAUCUCUGUUUGGCAGAAUGUCAGGUCACUAGACUAGACUUAGUGUUAUAAAAAGCUUGCAUGAAUAUUUUCUUUCAGAUUCUUUUAAUGAAU